GGCAGCCGCGGCGCCCAUGAGGACGAGCUCCCAUUUUGCGCCUGCCUCAGCCUGAGGGUUGAGGCCGCGAAGGCCUCUCUGCCCUCAGGGUCCCCUCAGCGCGGCGUCUUUCUGCCGGUCGCAUGUCUACUUUCUUGUGAAGAAAUGGAAACGGCCUGCCUACCUCCUUUUCUAAAUACUAUUUUUGUUCUCCUGGUGGCCUGGAUUCAGGAUGGAGUUAAUAUUUUUCUCCAUGACGCAGAAGGCAGAACAUGCUGAAACUUUAUGAACCCAGAAGGAUAUUCUCUAUGAUAAACAAAAACAAACUAAAAUAAAUUCUUUAAAGAACUCUGCAA